CUCAGGGCUCCCCUGGGAACCUUGGGGUCUCAGGAGUCCCAGCUCCCAGUGGGCAGGGGUAGGGUUGGGGCGGCCAGAGGAACAAGUGUUUGUUCAUGGGCUGGACCCCACCGCGGCCCCAAAGCUGGGCUGCCUAUUCCUGUCCUGGGCAAAUUGGCCUCUCCUCCCUCUUACCCCCCACCCCAGUGGGAGCCCACAAGGACAGGGCCUGCCCCAUCCCCUCCACUCUGGGCUGUGGCUCUAAGCAGCACGUCCCACUCUAGGGGCUCAGGGCAGGGACAGUGACUCAUCCAAGGUCCCGCCGUGGAGGGCAGAGCUGAAGGAGUGAGAAGGAGCUGCUGACAUGGAACUGGCCCGUGCGGAAAGACUUUGGUCUUCCCCAUAUUUUUCACCAGGCUCCUGGGGCAAGGUGAGCCCAGCAGGGAGAAGGAAACUUGUGUGAAUCCCAGGCCAGCAGGACUGGGGGCCCUGCUCUCAUCGCAGACGCUGCAGACACGGAGGCCUGGGGCAGGGGCCCUCAGGGCUGUGCUCCUGCAGAGAUGGAGCUUGCGUGUGUGGCUGAGACUGGGAUGCCACCCCCUUUCCUAAGCCUCUGUUUCCUCCGCUGUAAAUGUGGGCCCAGGCCUGCCAUGCACAGCUCAUCUCUUUAAUUUUCUUUUUUUUUUUUGAGACAAGGGUCUCAUUCUGUCACCCAGGCUGUUUGUGCAGUGGUGUUGAUCUCGGCUCGCUGCAGCCUCGACCUCCUGGGCUCAAGUGAUCCUCCCACCUCAGCCUCCCAAGAACCUGGGACCACAGAUGACACGCACCCCUCCCCCUGGCUCGUUUAGUAUUUAUUGAGUCAAACUGCAGAUUUUCCAGGCGGGCUCAGUGCCUGCCCUGGCCUGAUUUUGUCUUCCUGGUCUUAAACUGCUUUUCACUCCAAAGGCCCCAAAAUUGUAUAAGCUUUCAGGGCGUGCGACCUGGACCUGUCCUGACUAAGUGGGAAAUGUAGGUCCGAGGUUGGUAAAUCCGGUAAACAAUGCCGAGAGAGGCUGC
rnacentral:lncRNA from 1 species